rnacentral:lncRNA from 1 species
AUCCUCUUCUUCCUCCUUCUUUAUUCACGGUAUAGGAGUUAAAAAAUUAAUAAAAUUUAAACCUAAAAUCAGAGAAAAAAAUCUUUAGAAAGAUGCCUUCAUACAAGAUUAUAGGCACCUACAUCUUGAUUGUAGCCACCUACAAUCAAGAUAUUUGCGCUUACAAUCAAGAUGUAACCACCUACAAUCAGAAGGCUCCUGAAAAUUUUUUUUCUCUGAUCCGCAUCCUCUUCUUCCUCCUUCAUUCCCAAAAUAGUGAUUA